GAUGAACGCUGGCGGCGUGCCUAAUACAUGCAAGUCGAGCGAAUGGAUCAAGAGCUUGCUCUUAUGAAGUUAGCGGCGGACGGGUGAGUAACACGUGGGUAACCUGCCCAUAAGACUAGGAUAACUCCGGGAAACCGGGGCUAAUACCGGAUAACAUUUUGAACCGCAUGGUUCGAAAUUGAAAGGCGGCUACGGCUGUCACUUAUGGAUGGACCCGGGUCGCAUUAGCUAGUUGGUGAGGUAACGGCUCACCAAGGCAACGAUGCGUAGCCGACCUGGGAGGGUGAUCGGCCACACUGGGACUGAGACACGGCCCAGACUCCUACGGGAGGCAGCAGUAGGGAAUCUUCCGCAAUGGACGAAAGUCUGACGGAGCAACGCCGCGUGAGUGAUGAAGGCUUUCGGGUCGUAAAACUCUGUUGUUAGGGAAGAACAAGUGCUAGUUGAAUAAGCUGACACCUUGACGGUACCUAACCAGAAAGCCACGGCUAACUACGUGCCAGCAGCCGCCGUAA
rnacentral:rRNA from 1 species